rnacentral:rRNA from 1 species
CCUACGGGAGACAGCAGUGGGGAAUUUUGCGCAAUGCUCGUAAGAGUGACGCAGCGACGCCGCGUGAAUGACGAAGGCCUUCGGGUCGUAAAGUUCUUUCGACAGGGAAGAAAAUGCCUAUAAGUAACUGUGUAUGUAUUGACGGUACCUGUAUAAGCAGCCCCGGCUAACUCCGUGCCAGCAGCCGCGGGAAUACGGAGGGGGCGUGCGUUGUUCGGAGGGACUGGGCGUAAAGAGCACGUAGGCGGUGUUGUAAGGCAUUAGUCAAAGACUAGAGCUCAACUUUAGUAAGGCUAGUGAUACUAUAAUACUAGAGUAUCGGAGAGGAUUGCAGAAUUCCUGGUGUAGCGGUGAAAUGCGUAGAUAUCAGGAGGAAUACCGUUAGCGAAGGCGGCAAUCUGGCUGGAAACUGACGCUGAGGUGCGAAAGCGUGGGUAGCAAACAGGAUUAGAUACCCGAGUAGUC